ACUGCAGAUUGACCCAAGUAUGCGAUUAAUGUCUUUUGUUGCUGAUUUGGGUUGUGUUAAUUACGGGGUUUUGUUAAUUAUCAGAUUUGAUUUGUUAAUUACUGGGUUUUGUUAAGAUUUGUGCAACUGGGAGUGCGAGUGCAUUCUUCGCUGGGUUUUAGGUUGGACGGGCCAUGCUGGGGUUUAGGCAAUGAAAACCGUGGAUGGGGUUUGGGCGGAAACAAGGUUGUUUUUCUACUGGGGAUUUUGGGGCAAUUGAUGGUGAUGAUAUCCAUGGAUUUUCAGAAGAAAUUGAUGAAUAAAUAAUAUUAUUAAUUAGGUUCUUGAAAAAAAAAAUGGAAAAAAAAAAACAAGAAAGAAAUUGAUUGAAAGUUCCUAUGAUUGUAUUGGGUUUUGAUUGAAAUAAUUGACAUAUUGAUCUUAAUUAGGUGGAGGUUCAAGUGGGGAAGUUGUAUUGUGUGAGUAAGUGGGGAAGUUGUAUUGUGUGAGUAAGGCUGCUGUUUUACCUAUUAACAUUGAGGAUGCUGCUCGGAGUGAUAUCGAAAUCGAAAAGGCUUUGCAGGCCGGAGAAACACUUGUUCGAGUUAAUCAGGAUACCUGCUUGAAUAACCGAGUUCUUGAUUUGCGAACACCUGCGAAUCAGGGGAUAUUUCGCAUUCAGAGUCAAGUUGGCAAUAUCUUUGGGCAGUUCUUGAAAUCCGAAGGCUCUUUUGCCAAAGCUGAUUGCUGGUUCAAGUGAAGGUGGAGCUGCUGUUUUUAGACUCAACUACAAGGGUCAAGAUGCCUGCCUUGCCCAGUCACCUCAGCUUCACAAGCAAAUGGCUAUACGUGGUGACUUCGGUCGUAUUUUUGAGAUUGGUCCUGUUUUUAGAGCUGAGGACUCCUUUACCCAUAGGCAUUUGUGUGAGUUCACUGGCCUUGAUGUUGAGAUGGAGAUCAAGAGGCACUACUUUGAGGUAGAAUUAGUAAUUUUUUAGGCAUUUGUUUACCUUUACCGCCCUAUAUGACGAUGUAUGUUAACUUAUGGUGCAAUUAUAUGCUUGUUUGUUCUGGUCA